CACGUAGGGCGCGAGCGUUGUCCGGAAUUAUUGGGCGUAAAGAGCUCGUAGGCGGUCGUGUUGCGUCCGCUGUGAAAAACUCGGGGGCUUUAACCCCCGAGCCCUGCAGUGGAUACGGGCAGACUAGAGGUAGGUAGGGGAGAAUGGAAUUCCCGGUGUAGCGGUGAAAUGCGCAGAUAUCGGGAGGAACACCGGUGGCGAAGGCGGUUCUCUGGGCCUUACCUGGACGCU
rnacentral:rRNA from 1 species